CAAGGAAGGGGCCAUGAGCCAAGAAAUGCAGGCAGCCUCUAGAAGCUGGAAAAUGCGAAGAAACAGAUGCUCCCUUAGAGUCUCCAAAAGGAUUACAGCCCUGUGAACACCUGCGUUUUAGGAUUCUGGCCUCCAGAACUGCAAAAUAAUUAAUUUGUGUUGUUUUAAGCCACUAAGUUUGUGGUAAUUUGUUACAGCACACACAGGAAAUGAAUUCAUCAUUCAAUAGCCAUUUGUUGAUUGCUUCCUAGGUGUAACAAGAUGUGUAACACCCAGUGCCCAAUCUCAAGGAGCUUACCAUUGAAUGUGGCACCCUAUACUGCAAAAAGCUGUCAUAGCACAGAUUUUACGCAAAUGAAUCACUCCUCAACCCUCAAUUCUGUUUAUUUGCAAGAAAAGAUUUUCCUUUUUCUUUAGUACAACUUUUUCCUACACUAUAAGAUGACAAUUAAAUGCCACUCCUUCCUGGAAAAAUGUGGCUGUGUCACAAAGUGAAUGGAGAUGUCAGGUUGCCAAUACAUUCAGUCAUAAUGAAGUAUAGGGAAGUGUUAAUUCAUGUAAGCAUAAUCUCCUUAGAUGCUAAUCAAAAUGCAGAUCCCUGGGCCUCAAAUAGACUAAUUGAAUCUGAAUUUUAGGAGUAAGGCCCAAGAAUAUGCAUUUUAUAAAGCCCACAGGUGAUUCAUGUACACACUUAAUAGUUAAAUCUCCUGAGUCUCAGAACCUAGAAAACUCCUACCUCCCUCUCCCCCGAACAGACACACAGACACCUAUGCUCUGCAAAUGAGAAUCCAGCAGGGAGGGAAUGGGGAUUCUUGUGGCCUGGUAGAUGAGUUAAAAGAAGGAACUCAGUGGGGAAAUGCUUUAUCUAGUUUUCCAAAAGACCUGAUGGAUAAAAGCUACAUAAAAAUGUGACGUCCUUAGCUACUAAGGGAAACCAAAGACUCAUGGCUAGCUGAGAUGGAAGAAAAGCAGCAUCACUGAAGGGUAAAAACCAUUCCAAUGUCAGGACAUUGAUUAUUCUUCAAAAGAGAGAAAAAAAGAGAGAGAAAAUAAUUAUUGUCAUCAUCUGUGGAGCAUUCAGCAUUUUUCAUGUGAGGAAUGGAAGGCUAAGAGUGGUUAAAUAUGUCACCCAAGUUCAUAUAACUAGAAGAAAGAGGCAAGAUUACAGCCUGGAUAUUUUGCUUCUAGAGCCAGCCUGCUUAACUUCUGUAUUGUAAUACUGGGCUUCAGAUUUGCUCACAUAUAUUGACUUAUUGCUUUGUUUUAUUUGCCUUCAUCGUUGAGAAAAAUUCUUCCUUUUCCAUUUCUAAAGCUGCCUAUAAGUUUGUGUCAGGGAAAUAUGUUUCACAUUCAAUAAACAUUAACUGAGUACCUAGUGUGUGCCAGGAACAUAUAGACAUGGGGACCGGAAAGGUGAGUGUGACCAUUUGGCUUUCUUAGAUUCAUAGGAAAAGAGCAAUGAUGACAAUAAUAAAUGCAAUGAGUUAUUUGAGGGCACAGAGAACUGAGGAGGGCACUGACCCAGUCUGGGAUUCAGGGAAGACACCACUGCUGACUGACCUUGAGCAAAUUGUUUAAUCUGUCUCUCUGUUUUAUUCCCUCAUCUGUAACAGAGGUAAUGACAACAGAAUCUUAAUAGGGUCAUUGUGAGGAUUAACUAAGAUGGAAUUUGUGAAGCACUUACCAUACUGUCUAACACAUAAUGAGUGUUUAAUAAAUGCCAUGAUAUCAGUGGACACCUUGAAUAAAGGCCCGAAGAACACCAUAGAAGUUGUCCAAGUAGACUGUGGUGGUUAACACAUUCUUGAUGCCUUCUGAUCCCAGGAUUAUUUGGUAAGAUAAGCUCCAAUCAAGCUUCCUCACCCCAGGUACUGUACUAACUGCUGGAAAGUACAGCCAACAUGGCCUUCAUUGCCAAGUUGAUGGAGCUUCUGGACUUCCACAAAGGACAGUGAAAAAAAAUUUAAAGUAUAAGUAGUAAGAGGAGAAGAAUGAGCAUCUUAGGAUGAACAACAUGAUGUCUUAUUCCCUGAGGAGAUGAGCUUGAGCUAAGGCCAAGGGUGAGUAGGAGGGAAUGUGGAAUUCCAAAGACUGAGAAGGGGCAGAGAAGAUCACAGGCAGAGAAACCACAUCAUAUCUGCACUAAAGACUCUGAAGCAGAUGUGAGUUUCCAAGACACUCAUAAUCAAACAAUACCAACACAGGGUUACAGCUGUAACAAGUGCUGUUAAGAGAACGUGUGCAAUGAGGAACUGAUAAGUUAUUUUCCAGCUCAGACAUGGUGGAUGAGUCAAAGUUAACUAGGUGGAGAGCAAAGGGGAGAGGGAGAGGGAGGCCCAGGCACUGGCAAAGGCUGUGUGGCAGAGAAGGGGGCUGAGCACUGGCUGGGGGGGCCAGAGUACUGAAGCACUGAGAGGUGAUGGAGAAUGGGAGGGCAUGGAGGAUGAAAACGAAAGCAGGGAGCGGUGCAUCAGAAGUUAUAGGGAAGAUUCAGAACCUUUAAGAUUUCUGAAAGUGGUAGGAGUCAUUUGGGAUUUCAUGCAGGUGAAUAGUAUGUUCAAAAUUGCAUUUUCAAAGGAUAACUCUGGCUGGUGAGUGUGAAAUGUGAGGUAGGACCAUGAGGACGUGGAACAAUCAGUGGGAAAGCCAUUACCAAUGGCACUUACCCUAGCUCUGGAAAUCUGAAUGAUCUGGAAGUUGGGGUGUUGGGUCCUUCAGUAGCCUCCAGUAGAUGCUGGUCUUAAUCUCACUGCAGCAGACUCUGAUGUCAAACAUUGGGUGAAAUCAAAUCAAUUGCCCUGGGACUUUUUUUUUUUUUUUGACAGGGUCUCACUCUGUCACCCAGGCUGGAGUGCAGUGGCAUGAUCUUGGCUCACCGCAACCUCCACCUCCCAGGCUGAAGCCAUUCUCUGCCCUCAGCCUCCUGAAUAGCUGGGACUACAGGUGUGUGCCACCGU
rnacentral:lncRNA from 1 species